rnacentral:rRNA from 1 species
UACGGGGGGGGCAAGCGUUGUUCGGAAUUACUGGGCGUAAAGGGCUCGUAGGCGGCCAACUAAGUCAGACGUGAAAUCCCUCAGCUUAACUGGAGAACUGCGUCUGAUACUGGAUGGCUUGAGUUUGGGAGAGGGAUGCGGAAUUCCAGGUGUAGCGGUGAAAUGCGUAGAUAUCUGGAGGAACACCGGUGGCGAAGGCGGCAUCCUGGACCAACACUGACACUGAGGAGCGAAAGCCAGGGGAGCAAACGGG